AUACGUAGGGAGCGAGCGUUGUCCGGAUUUACUGGGUGUAAAGGGUGCGUAGGCGGCUCUGCAAGUCAGGUGUGAAAACCAUCGGCUUAACUGAUGGACUGCAUUUGAAACUGUGGGGCUUGAGUGGAGUAGAGGCAGACGGAAUUCCCGGUGUAGCGGUGAAAUGCGUAGAGAUCGGGAAGAACACCAGUGGCGAAGGCGGUCUGCUGGGCUCUAACUGACGCUGAGGCACGAAGGCAGGGGUAGCAAACAGGAUUAGAUACCCUGGUAGUCCAGGCCGUAAACGAUGAUUACUAGGGGUGGAGAGUCUGACCCUCUCCGUGCCGGAGUUAACACAAUAAGUAAUCCACCUGGGAAGUACGACCGCAAGGUUGAA
rnacentral:rRNA from 1 species